AAAAAUCUAAUUUUUGGUUACCCGGUUCCUAUUAUCUCUAAUUUACAUAUAUCUGAUUUACUUGGUCUUCCACCCAUAUCUCCGAAAUUGAACUCCAAAAUUGUUAACUUUGAUUCCCUCCCACCGUAUUCUUGUAUGAUAAAUUCAAGUUAUACGUCUUCCCAAUCUUCUAAGUUCUCUCACCUCCUCUCUCUAUGGUGUGUGAUAUCGACCACCCAAUACAUCACCGGAAAUUGAAGAAGCUGCACCACCACCAUUGAUAACCAAAAAACCAUUUUAUCAGAGUCGUCAGCUAUCUGUAAACUCCCUUUGUUUUUUUUUUGUUACAAGCUCAUCAUGUAUAACAAACCCUAGACCGAUGUAUCUCACCACCACAUGCCACUGACUUCUCUUUUCCUCCACUUUCGUCUCUCUAAAAAAGACAAAACCACGACACUACCUAACAUGCCCAACGUCCUCACCACACUCACCAUCUCCUUUCACUCACUCGAUCGAUGCACCAAGUUUGUUUUCUGAUUUUACAAAUUUUGGUUUUUGACAUUUGUUUUCCCAAAUUCGAUUUUAAUUUGGUAAUUCGUGGUUUGUUUUCUCUCAUUAUAGAUUAUAUUCGAAUUUUAAAUUGAAAUAUGAAUAUUUUACCCUUGAUAUUCUGGUUCUGAAUUAACCCUCUUUUUAAUUGUGUUUGUAUGUUUAACAUAUGAUCUUCAUUCUUGAAAUUGAAAUCGGUGACUUGAAGAGGGUUCAUGGCAAAAAAAUCCGUUUCAAGGCUUAAAUGAAUCAAUACACGGUAUGACCCCUAAAACUAUCUAUUCUCCCUGUCACUCCAUUCGCAUUGUUUGUGGAAGAACACCUGCAAACCAUGGUUUGUCUAAUCCUAUUUUUGUCUCUCAUUCUCAAGAGAUUUUCUUUUCUGUUUCUCAACCAUGAUUUCUCUGUUAAUUUUUUUGAUUAUGACAUUUGUGUGUUUGUACAAAUGUGUAGUUUGAAGAUCCAACAUUCCAAUUUUCACGUAUAGUCCAUCUUUUUUCUCUUUGUAAAAUUGAUCUUCGAUUCUUUGCUUAUAUUCUCUUUUUUGGUAGCCUAAUUUGACAGGUUUGAAUAAUUAUUUCAUUUAUUCUCAAAGUUGAAACUUUCUUGGAAAUAUGGAGGCUACUGCAACCAAAUUAAGACACUCAUGAAAAGUAGAACAUGAAGAGAAGAAGAUUUUAUUAAGCUUCAUCAAGGUAACAACAUGUAACAUCACUGUCUUUGUGGUUUGUAGAGUUGGCCUUGGGCUCUUACUGAAUAUUUUUUGAACUAUUUUUAAAUGAGAAAUUAGUAAACUAAUAGUUUUUUCUUAAAACAGGGGAUGCAGACCAACAACCAUGUUGUGAUAUAAUGCUCGAGUUAGGUGUUAUGUAGAUGUGUUUCUACUAACAUUAUAAUUUUGUCAAUAAUAUUUUGAUUUUAUCAAUGAAUUUCACAUACCAGUCAAGCUAUGAAAGGGAAGUUAAGAGACAAAAAAAACUAAGUGGUAUUUGAUUAUAUUUUUUUGGAUCACAUGUAAAAGUGUCUGGAGAAUAAGUAGUAUUCGAGUAUUUUUCAUUUUGAAUUUGGAAUUUUGGAGUUACCACUUAGCUUUCAUUAUUAUUUUUAAUGUUUUUGUCUUUUAAAAUUAAAUUAUGUUUUAUAUUUUCAGUACUGAUCUUGUGAAGUUUUGUAUCUUUGUUUUAUAUUAAUUAAAAUUUGGUUUAUGUUUUUAUGUGCAGAAGAUGUGAACUUUUGUUUUUAUAGGUUCAACUUAGUCAAGUUAGCUAUAUUGCUCUAUCUUCAUAUCCUUUUUUAUCAAUAUGAUAUUUUUGUGCACCAAAUAUAACCUGUAGUUCACAAUUCUAUUUUCAUUUAUAUUUUGUUACAAUAGUUAUUUUUAAUGUGGAAGCCCAUCAGACCAGUAUUGUUGCUAGCACCUUCCACUAUUGGACACAUGUUUGUCUCUUUCUUAACUUAAAGCAAGGUUCUCUAAUGAGCAAAUAAGUUAUUAUAUGUCCUUACACUUUUGAGUAAUUGAUUAUAGAAACAGAGUACCCACAAAAGCAUGUGAUCGACUAAUAGAUAAUAUGUUUUUAUAAGCUUGUAACAUGAAGGAGACCAACAGAUCCAACUUUCAUGAAACAUGACACAAAUGUCGUUUAUUGGGUAUGUAAUCAAUUCACACUUAUGGUUUUCACCACAUCUAUUGGAUAAGAACAUGUAAAAUGUAAAGAAAAAGAAAAAUAAGACUUGAUUAGUUUGGCCAGGAAACAAUAAAUGAAUACUAUGGGAGGUUUUUGCAUAUAAGUAGGUUGCUAUUACUGGUAAGAAAAAAUAGGCAUGUUGCCACUAUGUGAAAAGAAACAUAAGUAUGUCUGUCAAUGACUUCUUUUUCUACUAUUAUGAGAAUGUAAGUUUAAAUGAUUUCUUUGUAAGGUAUAAAUGAAAUUACUAACAAUGUCCCUUAUUAUAGAAUCUUACUUUCAUUUCUUACGUAUUACAAGCUUAUACUUUAAAAUAUUUGAAUUGCAAAUAAGUGUUUAUCUUUCAUUUUUUUUUGUUUAUCAUAGCUAUUUAAUUUCAUUUGUUCAUAUUACAACAUUGUAAUUUCAAAAUUUUACCAAAUUUGGUAUAUAUUGGCGCAAAAGUAUUGUUGCCUCAUUUUUCUACAUCCUACAACCAUUAUUAAGCCCUUUUUGUAUUAAUUUACCUCUUAAUAACAAGCUAAGAGUGUGGUUGGACCUGCAUUUGAUGCAUUUGAUAAUGAAGAUGUUUAUAUGGAGAAAUACAUUCAAUAUCCAAGGCGCAUUAAGUUCAAAGUAAUUUUUUUGGUCAUAGUGUAGCUGCCAAUAUACUUUGUAAAAUGUCCAUUUUUCUCUUUACUAUUGCAACACCAGUCUCAAGAAAUGCAAGGUUUCAAAAUGUCGAUGAUGGAUGAGCAAUGCUUGAAUGGAUGGAUGGUGGUGGAGAAAAUUAAGAUUGGUUUAAGUGUAUAGACGUGUGUUGUGAAGUUAAGAAUUGAAAAAGAUGAAUGAGCAUAUGGAAGGAGAUAAAUGGAAAAGGGUUAGGAAGAAAGUUAAGGAAGUUGGUAAAGCAUCAAUUGAGGCAACCAGUUAAAUCCAACAAUGAUCAUUUAAAAUUAGAACAA
rnacentral:lncRNA from 1 species